GCUGGAGUGGUGGAAUGGUAUACACGUGCGACUCAAAAUCGCAUGGCGCAAGCCUUGAGGGUUCAAGUCCCUCCUCCAGCA
rnacentral:tRNA from 1 species